rnacentral:rRNA from 1 species
GACAGAGGGUGCAAACGUUGUUCGGAAUUACUGGGCGUAAAGCGCGUGUAGGCGGUUAUGCAAGUCGGGUGUGAAAGCCCCGGGCUCAACUUGGGAAUUGCAGUGGAUACUGGCAAGCUGGAGUAUGGUAGAGGAAGGUGGAAUUCCCGGUGUAGCAGUGAAAUGCGUAGAGAUCGGGAGGAACACCAGUGGCGAAGGCGGCCUUCUGGACCAAUACUGACGCUCAUGCACGAAAGCGUGGGGAGCAAACAGG